ACUCUACUUUCUUGAUGUUUCAUUAUGGCUUUUACACAUGUGGCGUAUUUUUUACUUCAAAAGCAAUAUAAAAUGAUAAUUCCUGAUCAAAUACAUUAAAAAAGAGCAUCUUUGAUAUGUAAGUUAGGCGUUUGCGCUCAAGUCACACUUCCUUUAGUUGGGUACCUGCUAUAAUCCAUUCCUUUUGAGAUUUUAAUCUUGUUUCAGAGGAUGCUACCGAGACAAACAAAAGAAAGGAGCUAUCAAACAUGAAACUUCACAUGAGGAAGUUAAACAAUACCUGAGGAAGCUUGGUGAGAAUGGCAGGAAAUGAAGAAUUGAAAUGUAAUGGUUGAGCAGCUGAACCCAUGAUGGUCGACAAAAUGAAAAUAAAACAUACGAUGUUCA